rnacentral:rRNA from 1 species
AGUGAACGCUGGCGGUAGGCCUAACACAUGCAAGUCGAACGGCAGCACAGUAAGAGCUUGCUCUUACGGGUGGCGAGUGGCGGACGGGUGAGGAAUACAUCGGAAUCUACUUUUUCGUGGGGGAUAACGUAGGGAAACUUACGCUAAUACCGCAUACGACCUACGGGUGAAAGCAGGGGAUCUUCGGACCUUGCGCGAUUGAACGAGCCGAUGUCGGAUUAGCUAGUUGGCGGGGUAAAGGCCCACCAAGGCGACGAUCCGUAGCUGGUCUGAGAGGAUGAUCAGCCACACUGGAACUGAGACACGGUCCAGACUCCUACGGGAGGCAGCAGUGGGGAAUAUUGGACAAUGGGCGCAAGCCUGAUCCAGCCAUACCGCGUGGGUGAAGAAGGCCUUCGGGUUGUAAAGCCCUUUUGUUGGGAAAGAAAAGCAGCAGGUUAAUACCCCGCUGUUCUGACGGUACCCAAAGAAUAAGUACCGGCUAACUUCGUG